CGCAGAGAUGGCUUGGUGCUCGAAAGAGAACCGUAACACAGGUGCUGCAUGGCUGUCGUCAGCUCGUGUCGUGAGAUGUUGGGUUAAGUCCCGCAACGAGCGCAACCCUUGUCAUUAGUUGCUACAUUUGGUUGGGCACUCUAAUGAGACUGCCGGUGACAAACCGGAGGAAGGUGGGGAUGACGUCAAGUCCUCAUGGCCCUUAUAGGUAGGGCUACACACGUCAUACAAUGGAUGGUACAGAGGGUCGCCAACCCGCGAGGGGGAGCUAAUCCCAUAAAACCAUUCGUAGUCCGGAUCGCAGUCUGCAACUCGACUGCGUGAAGUCGGAAUCGCUAGUAAUCGCGGAUCAGAAUGUCGCGGUGAAU
rnacentral:rRNA from 1 species